GGACGGAAAUCAGAGUUAUAAACAUUAAGGACUAAGGAGAAGAACAACAAAGGACAUACGAAUUCAGAUUAAACAAUUUGAAAGAUACCACACUUCAAAACUUCUCAAAAGCAUUCCACCUGUCAGCCAAAACUUGUCUGGACAAACCUGUUAUUCUUCCUGAUGUAGCCAAAAAAAAAAAAAAAAAAAAAAAAAAAAAUCUUUUUUUUCAAUUCACACAACUUCGGAGGUCUCAUCAUCUGCAGUACCAAAUAAUGCCUACCACAUUUGUGAG
rnacentral:lncRNA from 1 species